rnacentral:rRNA from 1 species
UACGGGGGGAGCAAGCGUUGUUCGGAUUUACUGGGCGUAAAGGGCGCGUAGGCGGCACCGCAAGUCGACUGUGAAAUCUCCGGGCCUUAACUCGGAAAGGUCAGCCGAUACUGCGGGGCUAGAGUGCAGAAGGGGCAACUGGAAUUCUCGGUGUAGCGGAUGAAAUGCGUAGAUAUCGAGAGGAACACCUGCGGCGAAGGCGGGUUGCUGGGCUGACACUGACGCUGAGGCGCGAAAGCCAGGGGAGCGAACGGG